UCCUUGGCCAGAGGAGGAAUCACCUACUGCAGGAGUUUGAUUGGGGCUGCUGCCAUGAUCUGCCAGCAACAGACGCUGCAGUCCUGAUGGGAGCGACUCCUGCCGUGGCAGAGCCCUCGCCUGGCACCGGGCACCAGCCCAGCCUGCCCUUCCCUGGCCAUCACCAGCAGCACUGCAGAGAGGAACACAGGCCUGUGGCAGGGACCUCGCUGAUCCAGAUCCCAGCUGGUAUAUGAGAAAAGGAGUGAACAACCACCCAUCUUCUCAUUGCUGCUCAGAAGUCUCUGCUUCCAGGAGUCAGAUCUUCCACCACCAGCAAGGAUGGUCCUGAUGACAUAGAAUAAAAUUACUUUACACCCCUGGC